UACAGAGGUGGCAAGCGUUGUUCGGAAUUACUGGGCGUAAAGGGCGCGUAGGCGGCCUCUUUAGUCAGACGUGAAAUCCCCCGGCUUAACCUGGGAACUGCGUCUGAUACUGGGAGGCUAGAGUUCGGGAGAGGGAUGUAGAAUUCCAGGUGUAGCGGUGAAAUGCGUAGAUAUCUGGAGGAAUACCGGUGGCGAAGGCGGCAUCCUGGACCGAAACUGACGCUGAGGCGCGAAAGCUAGGGGAGCAAACGGG
rnacentral:rRNA from 1 species